ACAGAUUGUGGCUUCUGCAGGAGAGAAAGCCAAGCUGUGGCCAUCCAGUCUUUAAAUCUAUUUAGUCAGGACAAUGGAAGCCUGAUGGAGUUGUGGGCACAGAAAGGUAUAUCCCUCAGAUCUGAGCUGCUAUCCUGAGCCGCCAUGAGUUGAACAGCUUUAUUCCAUAGCAGAUUUCCACUAUGAUGUACUGUGCUGCCACAGACCCCCAAACCCAUAGAGCAACUGACCAUGGACUGACCCCCCUGAAACUACGUGCCCCAACAAAUCUUUCUUCCUUACAAGUUGUUUAUCUCACUCACAUUAUCACAGUAACAGCAAGUUGAUUGACAGAUAG